GGAUUCCCGGUUUUUGUCAGUAGAAUUGUGAGAGUAAUACAUACCUCCACGGUGAUUUCAGAGUUCUUCCUCAGUCCUGAGGUUUGGGAUUCCCGGUUUGUGUCAGUAGAAUUGCGAGAGUAGAGGCCCACUUCAGAUCAACGAGUGGAUCCUGUCUCAACCUAAGCUCUAAGGUUGCUUGUGCUGUUAGGGUCACAGCUACAGUGAGUGACAAUUACAGUAAUACUUUUUUAAUGUCUUUUUUUAGAUGACGGUACAUGUAGAGAUUCAGUGUGCUUAGCAUGAUCAGGGAUAGGCUCUUGUCACCAAACUAGUUACCACUACCUACAAUCUAUACACAUCAAAUACCAGAUGUCUUGGACUUAAAAGUCCAAAGAGAGGGGGAACUUUGGUAACUGCCUCUCUUGGUGAUAGUCCUGUAGUAAGUUGGUGAAAAGAUACAAGAGUUUUGUGAUUAAUUUUGUUCUUCAUGGACUUUGAUAUUAUUGUUACAAUUUCAUAUAUUAAAAUUAGAAAAAGUCAAUGAACAAAUGUAAAUACUGAUAUUUAAGCAUUAUUCUAUUAUAAAAAUGUCACAAAGGAAGAAAAUCUAUCAACAUAAGUUCAUAAUAUUGAAACCAGUUUAGGGUGACUCGGGGACUGAUGCAGUUGAUAGUUCAGUAGUAGAGCCCUUGUCUUGGAUGUGUGAGGCCCUGGGCUCUAUCCUCAGUACCACAAAAUUAAAAAAAUAAAGAAAGAUAAUAUCUAAGAGUGUUAUUUUUUUUGGCUAAUGAUUUAAAAAAAAAUGAGAGAUGGCUCAGUGGUUAAGAGCACUGACUGCACUUCCAGAGGUCCCGAGUUCAAUUCCCAACAACCACAUGGUGCUCACAACCAGCUGUAAUGGGAUCUUCUGGU
rnacentral:lncRNA from 1 species